rnacentral:rRNA from 1 species
UAUGGUAAUUGUGUGCAGCCGCGGUAAUACGUAUGGAGCAAGCGUUAUCCGGAUUUACUGGGUGUAAAGGGUGCGUAGGUGGCAGUGCAAGUCAGAUGUGAAAGGCCGGGGCUCAACCCCGGAGCUGCAUUUGAAACUGCAUAGCUAGAGUACAGGAGAGGCAGGCGGAAUUCCUAGUGUAGCGGUGAAAUGCGUAGAUAUUAGGAGGAACACCAGUGGCGAAGGCGGCCUGCUGGACUGUUACUGACACUGAGGCACGAAAGCGUGGGGAGCAAACAGG